UUAGUUUAUUUAAAUAUUUUCAGAUUUAACAUGGUUAAAAGAGUUUGUUAAAGGGCUAUUGACGAGCACUGGCCAGGGGUUCAAAACUCCCGGCGGUCCGGUUAAGACGGGCCCGCCAAAGCAACAUGGUAGUUAUACAAAGGGUUGGAGAUCGGGCCUGGAAGACCCUAACUCAUUAAUGAUCCUUCCGCAGGUUCACCUACGGAAA
rnacentral:misc_RNA from 1 species